ensembl:lncRNA
CACAGCCACAACUACAAGGGAUCCAAGCUGUCUGCAACCUACACCACAGUUCAUGGCAAAGCCAGAUCCUUGACCCACUGAGCGAGGCCAGGGAUCUAAACCAUGUCCUCGUGGAUACUAGUUAGGUUCUCGGAGACUUUGUUUUUUUAAGUUAAAAGUUAAACUUUGUGCUGCCAGUUGUCUUUUCCUGAGGUCUUGCAUCUCUCUACUUCCCCAGGUGGUCCUUCUCCACCAUGAAGCUAAGGAUCCCAGACUGGAUGGUGAAGAUGGCCUGGGCUAGGUUGCCUGGAUGGAAAUCUAUGACAAAAAGACCCAGCUUUUUAUUGCACUUAAAUCUUCCAUUGGUUUUAUCAGUUGACUUUGCCAUGAAUAACCUUAUGGAUGCGGCUGGACCCAUAUGUCAUUCAAAAAUCAGAAAGGAGGAACUCAGCAUACAUGCAAGCUAUUCCUGUUUUUGGGUAGUAGUAUCUCAACCAGAGCGUCAAUAGGAACUUACCUGCUGCAGGCAUACAUUGGAGAUAUUGUGGAUUCAAUUCCAGAACCCCACAACAAAGCCAAUACUGCAGUAACGUGAGUCACACAAAUUUUUUAGUUGAGUAUAGAAUUAUGUUUAUACUGUACUCUAAUCUAUUAAGUGUGAAAUAAUAGCAUUAUAUCUUUUAAAAGUACAUACUUUAAUUAAAAAACACUUUGUUAAAAAUUGCUAUCCUCUGAGCCUUCAGGGAGUCACAGAAAUAACAUCAAAGAUCACUGAUCACAGGUUACCAUUACAAAUAUAAUAAUGAUGAAAAAGUUUGAAAUAUUGUAAAGUACCAAAAUGCAACACAGAGAGACAAAGUAAAGAAAUUAUGUUGGGGGAGUUCCUGCUGUGGUGCAGUGGAUUAAGAACCUGACUCUAGUGCUCAGGUUGCUGCAGAAGUUCAGGUUCAAUUCCUGCCCCACAUAGUGGAUUAAAGGAUCUGGCGUUACUGUGGAGUAGGUUGCAGCUGUUACUCGGAUUCAGUCCUUGGCCCUGGAACUUCCAUAUGCCCAUGGGUAUGGCCAUAAAAAGAAAAAAAUCCUAAUGGAAAAAUUUGCUAAUAUAAGGUUGCCACAUAUGUUCAAUUUGUAAAAAACACAGUAUUUGUGAAGUGUGAUAAAAUGAGAUAUACCUGUAAUAAUAAUUGAGAACAAACUUUCAUUUAUAUAUUGGACAGUUUGAUACUCAUAUUCAUGAAUUAGCUGCUCAAAUUAUUGGCUCACUUUUAGGUUUUUAUAUGAUACCUUUUAAGACAGCAUAAAAUAACAAUGAAAAAAUAGGUAGAGGAAAAAUGUGUAAGCCCACUUCACAGAAAGAUUACUUUGGACUCUUGAGAAUGGGUCAGAGUGCAGUGGUGGGCAGAAUUAUAAAGUGGCUCCAGAAAUCACUACUUGCUUGUACACCUGCUUUUGUAAAAUCCCCUCCUCUUGAGCGCAGGUGGAACCUGUGAGUGCUUGGAAUCAGGAAAC